rnacentral:lncRNA from 1 species
AAGUGACAAAACAUUUUACCAGUGUGGCCUGACUAGAAGUUCAUUUGGUCAGAUAUGUCUCCAGUACUGGCCAUAAGUAGAUGUCUGGGAAAGGCAAAGAACACGACAAGAACACAAUACUUUCCCUUUUUCCUUUCUCAGCCUUUUGGGGAAAAAUGGCCUUCAAUCUUUGGCUGACCAGUGUGGUGUACACAUAAACCUCAGCAUUUUCCAUCAGUACCCAUCUCAUGUUUCAGUGCCUAUUUGUACUUUAAUUGUUUCUCGUGACUUGCUGGCUCUGCUGGGCUAGGGCUUACAUGUGGCAGAUCAAGAUCAUUUUGUGAGGCACAUGUCUGCACAGAGUGAAGGACAGCUAUUGCACUGGGAAACAUUAAACCUCUGGUUUAGCUAGACAAAACAGAUUGGAAGGGGAAAAGGCACACAUCAUGGUCUUUGAUUCUUUAAGUUAGGCACUAAUUAUAAACACAUUCCUAAAAUCUGACAGAUAGUACAUUGCUGCACAGUCAUGACAGCAAAACCCUUCAUAGCAAUUUGAAGCUCAAGGAAAUUUCCAUUGCCACAGCACUCGACCUUCUUCACAGGGAAUAGAGAGAAAACAUUUGCUUGCUCUGGGGGAGAGCAGAGCAUGCUGAUGGAGUAGGCUGCACAUCCUUGGCUGGAUGCUGCCACAAACCACUCAGGCAGUAGAGAAAGGGAUACUCCAAGGUCUAGACCAUGUCCAAGAGCCCUCAAAUCCAGGAGCUGAUGCUGCUCAGCAGCUUACUGGAGGAAAGCGCAAAGCUUCGGAAUCAAAUCCCUUGGUUCUGGAGAAUGAUCCUCUCACAGCAGCAAAUGCUUAGCUAUUUGUAGAAUCUGCUCUGCUUCCAUUGGGAGAGUACUGGGUAUCAGUCCAGCAAAGAGGAAAGCAUGGAGAAGGUGUGCUUGGAAGUGGUCACGCCACUCCACCAAGCUAAAGAAUCUCCUGAAGGAAGACCCAAAAUAAAUCUGCCCCUCUAAGCA